rnacentral:rRNA from 1 species
GAUAAACGCUGGCGGCGUGCCUAACACAUGCAAGUCGAACGCCCUUACGCAAGUAAGGGAGUGGCGGACGGGUGAGGAACACGUGGGUGAUCUGCCUUGAGGUGAGGAAUACCGGCGAGAAAUCGCCGACAAUACCGCAUACGUUCGCAAGAACAAAGUCGCAAGACGCCUUGAGAUGAGCCUGCGUCCGAUUAGCUAGUUGGUGGGGUAAAAGCCUACCAAGGCAGCGAUCGGUAGCUGGUCUGAGAGGACGAUCAGCCACACUGGGAUUGAGAACGGCCCAGACUCCUACGGGGGGCAGCAGUGAGGAAUUUUCGUCAAUGGCCGAAAGGCUGAACGAGCAACGCCGCGUGCAGGAAGAAGGUCUUCGGAUCGUAAACUGCUUUUCUGGGGGAAGAGCACGGACGGUACCCCAGGAAGAAGCCCCGGCUAACUACGUGCCAGCAGCCGCCGUAAC